rnacentral:lncRNA from 1 species
AUUUUAUGCUUGAACAACUGAGAACUUAUGAUUGUCCUAUUUUGGCUUGGCGAUUCAGAGAAGGAGAAAUCUCAAGCUCUAGUUUACACUUUACAACAUCCAAAUUACAACUGAACAAAUUGGCAUGUUAUUUACAAAACUCUUCCUUUUCUCUUCGAACAAAGUAGUUUCUACAUUUUUUUUUCUUUUGAAAAACUAGCACCUAAAUCAUAACCGAUAUCUUAUACAGUAAAAUGGCAAAAACCCAAUACAAAGU